CAUAUCCCUAAAGGUACACUCUGUCAGCAUCACCCAACCCACCACAUAUCCUUAAAGUACACUCUGUCAGCAUCACCAAACCCAACCACAUAUCCCUAAAGUACACUCUGUCAGCAUCACCCAACCCAACCACAUAUCCAAGGUACCUCUGUUCAGCAUCACCCAACCACACAUCCCUCAAGGUACACUCUGUCAGCAUCACCCAACCCAACCACAUAUCCCUAAGGUACCCUCUGUCCAGCAUCACCAAACCACACAUCCCUAAAGGUACACUCUGUCAGCAUCACCCAACCACACAUCCCUCAAGGUACACUCUGUCAGCAUCACCCAACCACACAUCCCUCAAGGUACACUCUGUCAGCAUCACCCAACCACACAUCCCUAAAGGUACACUCUGUCAGCAUCACCCAACCACACAUCCCUAAAGGUACACUCUGUCAGCAUCACCCAACCCAACCAACAUUCCCUAAAGGUACACUCUGUCAGCAUCACCAACCCAACCACAUAUCCCUAAAGGUACACUCUGUCAGCAUCACUCACCAACCCAACCACUAUCCCUAAAGGUACACUCUGUCAGAUCACCCAACCCAACCACAUAUCCUAAAGGUACACAGGAACAAUCUUUAAUUCAUUAGCCUAGUUAUUGGCAGUCAUCCAACUUAAGGGAUAAUGGAUAUCAUCAACAGCAUUUAGAGUUGAUUAUUGAGCCCAAAUGAUUACUAGAGCCAGUCACACUGAAAUGAUCAUAGAACAGUCACACUAACUGAAUGAUACUAGAACCAGUCGCACUAACUGAAAUGAUUACUAGAACCCAGUCACACUAACUGAAAUGAUUACUGAACCAGCGCCAUUACUAACUGAAAUGCUCACUAGAACCAGUCGCACUAACUGAAAAUGAUCACUAGAACCAGUCCACUAACUGAAAUGAUUUACUAGACACCAGUACGCACUAACUGAAAUGAUUACAGAACCAGUCCACACUAACUGAAAUGAUUACUAGAACCAGUCACACUAACUGAAAUGAUUCUAGAACCAGUACCACUAACUGAAAUGAUUACUAGAACGUCACACAUAACUGAUAAGAUUACUAGAAACCAGUCACAAUAACUGAAAUGAUUUACUAGAACCAGUCACACUAACUGAAAUGAUCACAGAGCCAGUCACACUAAUGAAAGCUAAUAAACCAGUCCCACUAACUGAAAGUCUGACCAAUGAUCACUAGAACCAGUCACCCACUAACUGAAAUGAUUACUAGAAACCAGUCACUAACUGAAAUGAUUACUAGAACCAGUCACCACUAAUGAAAUGAUUACUAGACCAGUCACACUACUGAAAUGAUUACUAGAACCAGUCAACUAACUGAAAU
rnacentral:lncRNA from 1 species